GACUGACUCCAUGUGACUCAUCUCUUCAAGCCCUUCCGCUGUGCCUUCCCACCAUGGUGGACUAGAAUCUCUUUCAACUGUAAGCCGACUUGAGUGUAUGAGCACUACCUUUGGGCAGAGCCUGCAGACUCGAGAAGAGGGAGGGCCUUGGAUUUCCUGAAACUGGAGGUUUCUUCCUCGUGUGGUGUUUCAGCCUCUUCCUCCUCUUCUUCCGGGUCAUCAGUGUCUCCUGAAUCAUCACUGUCAUCUACCCAUUUUCCCGGCAUGAGACCCGCAGAGUCGUAGGAGUGGCAAAGAGGACCCACGAUGUGUGAGAUAAAGGACUCCUGAAGAUUGGCCAGCUGCGGGGCAGAGCGGUCCAUAAAUGGGCUUAUGGGCAAACCAAGGCUGGCUUCUUCAUCGCCCUAGAAAGAGGGAUUCACAAAGUCCUCCUUUAAGGCCUUAAGAAAACAAACAGAGAGGGACAUUUUGGAAAAAAAGUGGAUGACUGAUUAUACACACAGUUGUUGAAAAAAAUAAAUUAGCCAACAGGAUCUGUGGACAA
rnacentral:lncRNA from 1 species